CCUACGGGAGGCAGCAGUGGGGAAUAUUGGACAAUGGGGGGAACCCUGAUCCAGCCAUGCCGCGUGUGUGAAGAAGGCCCUCGGGUUGUAAAGCACUUUCAGUGAGGAAGAACGCCUGGUGGUUAAUACCCAUCAGGAAAGACAUCACUCACAGAAGAAGCACCGGCUAACUCCGUGCCAGUAGCCGCGGUAAUACGGAGGGUGCGAGCGUUAAUCGGAAUUACUGGGCGUAAAGCGCGCGUAGGUGGCUUGAUAAGCCGGUUGUGAAAGCCCCGGGCUCAACCUGGGAACGGCAUCCGGAACUGUCAAGCUAGAGUGCAGGAGAGGAAGGUAGAAUUCCCGGUGUAGCGGUGAAAUGCGUAGAGAUCGGGAGGAAUACCAGUGGCGAAGGCGGCCUUCUGGACUGACACUGACACUGAGGUGCGAAAGCGUGGGUAGCAAACAGGAUUAGAUACCCCUGUAGUC
rnacentral:rRNA from 1 species